GAUUUCUGGUACGAUGCGCCUAGCCCGUCCUCGUCAGAGGCACGUGUGCUGGUGUGCGUCUGCCAUCUUUCUAGAGAGUGACACUAUCCUUCAUUGGUUUGGUGCUCAUCAUCUAGAUCUUUUACUUUGAAAAAAUUAGAGUGUUUCAAGCAGGCUUUAUGCUAUGAAUACAUUAGCAUGGAAUAAUAAUUUAGGACUUCGGUUCUAUUUUGUUGGUUUCUAGGACUGAAGUAAUGAUUGAUAGGGAUAGUUGGGGGUGCUAGUAUUCAGCGGCCAGAGGUGAAAUUCUCGGAUUCGCUGAAGACUAACUUAUGCGAAAGCAUU
rnacentral:rRNA from 1 species